rnacentral:sRNA from 1 species
GCCAGGCAUGGUGGCACAUGCCUGUAAUCCCAGCGACUUGGGAGGUUGAGGCAGGGGGAUCACAAGUUCAAAGUCAGUCUCAGCAACUUAGCGAGGCCUUAAGCCUUAGUGAGAUCCUGUCUCAA